rnacentral:rRNA from 1 species
UAAGUAUACAGUUUAAAUAUGAAUAAAGAAUUAAAAACAUUUAUAUAUUUAGUAAAGGUGAUUAAAGCUUAUUACAUACUUGUCAUUAAGUACUGAAAAGGAAGAAUAAUAGUUUUAAUAUAGAAAAAAUUAAAUUUUGUACCUUUUGCAUCAUGGUUUAGCUAGAUUUAAAUUUUAUAUAUAAAAUUUCUCGAAACUUAGUGAGCUAUUUUAUAUUACGCUAGUUUUAGAAAGACGAAAAGUGAUUGUGGCAAAAAUCUUUUUAGAGUUUAAAAUAGAAAUGAAAUUUUUUUCGUACUAAGUGAUAGCUAGUUCUUUCCAUAAAGUAUAUAAGUACUGUAAAUUAGUUUUAUGUAGUGUUAUUCAAUUCUCUGCAUAUAAUUUCUAAUUGAUUUAGGUUCUAAAGGAUAAGCUCUAGAACAAAAAUUUUAAAGUUACAUAAAUGUAUAUAUAAAUUUAAGCCUGAAAAUAGCUAUAAAUUGAGAUUUUGUUAUAAUUUCAUUAAUAGUUUUUACAUAUAAUAAAUUUGUUUUAUACAAGGAAAGUAAAACCUGAAAAUCAAAACACACAGGCUAAUUUUAUGCUAAAAUGAGUAUUUUAUGUUUAUAAAAUUUUAAUGAGCAAGAUAAAAAAUUUUGAUAUUAGUUUUUUAACUAAAUUACAAAAAGGAACUCGGCAAAUCUAUAUUCUGCCUGUUUAUCAAAAACAUGGCUCCUUGUAUUCUAUUAAAUAAGGAGUCGGACCUGCCCAGUGAAUUUUUUUAACGGCCGCGGUACUCUGACCGUGCAAAGGUAGCAUAAUCAUUUGCCUUAUAAUUGAAGGCUAGUAUGAAUGGUUUGACAAGAAUAUGACUGUCUCUUUGUAAUUAAUUAGAAUUUUAUUUUUAGGUGAAGAAGCCUAUAUAUAAUUGAAAGACAAGAAGACCCUAUCGAGCUUAAAAAAAGUUAAUAAAUGUAAUUAUUUGAUAUAGUAUUAAUAUAGUUUAUAAAAGAUUUUAGUUGGGGCGACUGAGGAACAAAGAAAGCUUCCUUUAAACACUAAAGAUUAAUACACACAGGUAGUGAUCCAAAAAGUUUUGAUUAAAGGAAUUAGUUACCGUAGGGAUAACAGCAUUAUCCUCUUUGAGAGCUCAUAUCGAAAAGGGGGUUUGUGACCUCGAUGUUGGACCAGAAUAUCCUAAAGAUGUAGCCGUCUUUAAGGGUUGGUCUGUUCGACCAUUAAAAUUCUACGUGAUCUGAGUUCAGACCGGCGUGAGCCAGGUCAGUUUCUAUCUUCAAUUUUGUGAAUAAACUUAGUACGAAAGGACCAGAUUAUUGCAAACCAGUUGUUAAAAUAUUGAUAAAAUAUAAUGAACGUAUAAACAUU